ensembl:lncRNA
CUAAAGGCUGGUUUCCCAGAUACAGAUUCAUCCUAGUUCUGGACUAAAAAAGGUAUUUCUUCAUUGACUAUUGAAUUCUCCAUUAGACCAGGACAAGGCUUAAUCUGUGCCUGGGAAACCAGCCCAAUGACACAGGGUCUGUAUUCCCAGACACCAAUUAAGCCUAUAUUCCUGGACUAAAAAGCUAUUUAAAGAGAGAUUCUUAAAUUUAGCAUGCUUUUUAGUUCAGGACCAGGCUUAAUCUGUGUCCUGGAAACCGGCCCAAUAACACAGUAACUGAAUUUCUUUAUCUCUGGUACAGGCAGCAAGUUUGUGUGUCUAUAUCUCUGGUACAGGCAGCAGGUUUGUGUGUCUAUAUCUCUGGUACAGGCAGCAAGUUUGUGUGUCUAUAUCUCUGGUACAGGCAGCAGGUUUGUGUGUCUAUAUCUCUGGUACAGGCAGAUAGUUCUAUAGUGAGGUGCGGUAGACAGCAGGUUUCAAUAGUGAGGUGCAGUAGACAGCAGGUUUCUAUAGUGAGGUGCAGUAGACAGCAGGUUUCUAUAGUGAGGUGCAGUAGACAGCAGGUUUCUAUAGUGAGGUGCAGUAGACAGCAGGUUUCUAUAGUGAGGUGCAGUAGACAGCAGGUUUCUAUAGUGAGGUGCAGUAGACAGCA